rnacentral:tRNA from 4 species
GCCCAUGUAGUUCAGUGGCAGAACAUUUCCAUGGUAAGGAAGAGACGGGAGUUCGAUUCUCCCCUUGGGCUCAA